rnacentral:rRNA from 1 species
UCGAGAAUUUUUCUCAAUGGGCGAAAGCCUGAAGGAGCGACGCCGCGUGGGGGAUGAAGGGCUUCGGCUCGUAAACCCCUGUCAUUUGCGAACAAACCUUUUCAUUAAACAGGUGAAAAGCUGAUUGUAGCGAAAGAGGAAGGGACGGCUAACUCUGUGCCAGCAGCCGCGGUAAUACAGAGGUCCCAAGCGUUGUUCGGAUUCACUGGGCGUAAAGGGUGCGCAGGUGGCGCGGUAAGUUUGAUGUGAAAUCUCCGGGCUCAACCCGGAAAAUGCAUUGAAUACUAUCGUGCUAGAGGGUUGGAGGGGAGACUGGAAUUCUCGGUGUAGCAGUGAAAUGCGUAGAUAUCGAGAGGAACACCAGUGGCGAAGGCGAGUCUCUGGACAACUCCUGACACUGAGGCACGAAAGCUAGGGGAGCAAACAGGAUUAGAUACCCCCGUAGUCC